GACAGAGGUCCCGAGCGUUAGGCGGAAUCACUGGGCUUAAAGCGUGUGUAGGCGGAUGUCUAAGUACUUUGUGAAAUCCCACGGCUUAACCGUGGAAUUGCUUGGUAUACUGGGGAACUUGAGUGCAGAAGAGGAAAGUGGAAUUCCAAGUGUAGCGGUGAAAUGCGUAGAUAUUUGGAGGAACACCAGUGGCGAAGGCGGUUCUCUGGGCCUGUACUGACGCUGAGGAGCGAAAGCGUGGGGAGCGAACAGG
rnacentral:rRNA from 1 species